UACGUAGGGUGCGAGCGUUUAAUCGGAAUUACUGGGCGUAAAGCGUGCGCAGGCGGCUUCGCAAGUCAGGCGUGAAAUCCCCCGGGCUUAACCUGGGAAUGGCGUCUGAAACUACGGAGCUGGAGUGUGGCAGAGGGAGGUAGAAUUCCACGUGUAGCGGUGAAAUGCGUAGAUAUGACAUAGAACACCAAUUGCGAAGGCAGCUCGCUACACGAAUAUUGACUCUGAGGCACGGAAAGCGUGGGGAUCAAACAGG
rnacentral:rRNA from 1 species